GCUUCGUCCUCAGCGGAGACAAAUGCGUCCCUCUCAGCGAGUGCGGAUGUACCGACCGAGACGGAAACACAGGCCGGUAGGGGAAAGUUGGUUCACAGAGAAGGACUGCUCCGAGCGCUGCAAGUGUAACGGCAACAACAACAUCAUCUGCGAGCCGUGGCAGUGCAGCCCGGCCCAGGAGUGUAAAGUUGUAGAAGGUGUGCUGGACUGCCA